rnacentral:tRNA from 1 species
ACCUAAGUGGCUCAGUCAGUUGAGCCUCUGACUUUAGCUCAGGUCAUGAUCUUGCAGUCCAUGAGUUCAAGCCCCAUAUUGGGUU